rnacentral:rRNA from 1 species
GGGAUGGGACUGCGGCCUAUCAGUUUGUUGGGGAGGUAAGGAGCCACCAAGGCGAUUACAGGUAUGGGGCUAGAGAGGAGAAGCCCGGAGAUGGGGCAGGAGACAAGGACCCAGGCCCUAUGGGGCGCAGCAGGGGAGAUACGUUUGCAAGCUGGGAAAGCACGACUGUGUCAGUCCAAGCGUUUCCUGAUAAAGGAGUAUUUUGCGUGUCAUAAAAGCACAGGUGAAUAAGGGGUGGGCAAGUUUGGUGUCAGCCGCCGCGGUAAUACCAGCACCUCGAGUGUUCAGGACGUUUAUUGGGCAUAAAGCAUCAGUAGCCGGCUUAGCAAGUCUUUGGAUUAAUCCACCUGAUCAACAGAGGGGCCGCUGGAGAUAGUAAAGAGUUAGGAAGUGGGAAAGUCAGGGGGUAUUCAGUGGGUAGGGGUAAAAUCCUUUGAUCCAUUGAGGACCACCAGUGGGGAGGGCGGUGUGCCAAAACACUUUGGCCGGUAAGGUAUAAAAGCUGGGGGAGCAAACCGGAUUAGAUACCCGGGUAGUCCCAGCUGUAAUCGAUGCAAACUCGGUGAUGCAUUGGCUUAUGGCCAAGGCAGUGCCGCAGGGAAGCCGUUAAGUUUGCCGCCUGGGAAGUACGGACGCAAGUCUGAAACUUAAAGGAAAUGGCGGGG